GGGGAUGUUUUUGGGAUUCGACAGGCGUAGAUUCGCAUUGACUGCGAUUCGUAGGUUACGUCUACGUAAAAACGUUACAGUUAAAUAUAACUGCAAAUAACAAAAAUUCUUACGCAUUAGCUGCUUAAUUUAGCGCAUGCGUUGCUCUUUGUCGGUUUACUCGUGGCUGACACUGAGUAUCAACUUUAGCGAGUUACGUUUAACUAUCUCACCUGAAUAGUUGAAAAGAGUCUUAACAGGUUAGCUAGCUCAUCCUAGCCCUGUUAUAUGGCGUUUUGAGCUAGUGAAGUUCAAGUAAUAUAACUAUGAUCGUAGAGGUCAGUGACGGAAUGCGUCUGGACAGGGGUUCAACUCCCCUCAUCUCCAUCG
rnacentral:tmRNA from 5 species